AAGAGACAGCAGCCGCCGCGGGAAUACAGAGGGUGCGAGCGUUAAUCGGAUUUACUGGGCGUAAAGCGUGCGUAGGCGGCUUUUUAAGUCGGAUGUGAAAUCCCUGAGCUUAACUUAGGAAUUGCAUUCGAUACUGGGAAGCUAGAGUAUGGGAGAGGAUGGUAGAAUUCCAGGUGUAGCGGUGAAAUGCGUAGAGAUCUGGAGGAAUACCGAUGGCGAAGGCAGCCAUCUGGCCUAAUACUGACGCUGAGGUACGAAAGCAUGGGGAGCAAACAGGAUUAGAUACCCGUGUAGUCCCUGUCUCUUAUAC
rnacentral:rRNA from 1 species